AAACAUGAAAGACAGGACAAAGUCCCUUCUCUCAAAGGGCUUUAUUCUGGAGCACACAGGAUAACAAUUGCAUGAAGCCAAGAAGGACAGACGUGUCCCUACAUUCAUCAGGUAACAGCUUGCACUCUGAGCUCCAACUCAGCAUCUGCUUCUGGAGGACUCUACCUAUGCUUGAAGAAUUCCUUUCAGCCUUUCUCAUGAAGCAGGUCUAGUGGUGAUGAACUCCUUCAGCUUUUGUUUGUUAGCCAAAGUCUUUAUCUCACGUUCAUUGC